GCUUGCUUGGUGGAUCAGUGGCGAACGGGUGAGUAACACGUGAGCAACCUGCCCUGGACUCUGGGAUAAGCGCUGGAAACGGCGUCUAAUACUGGAUAUGAGCCUCUUCCGCAUGGUGGGGGUUGGAAAGAUUUUUUGGUCUGGGAUGGGCUCGCGGCCUAUCAGCUUGUUGGUGAGGUAAUGGCUCACCAAGGCGUCGACGGGUAGCCGGCCUGAGAGGGUGACCGGCCACACUGGGACUGAGACACGGCCCAGACUCCUACGGGAGGCAGCAGUGGGGAAUAUUGCACAAUGGGCGAAAGCCUGAUGCAGCAACGCCGCGUGAGGGAUGACGGCCUUCGGGUUGUAAACCUCUUUUAGCAGGGAAGAAGCGAAAGUGACGGUACCUGCAGAAAAAGCGCCGGCUAAC
rnacentral:rRNA from 1 species